rnacentral:rRNA from 1 species
GUGCAGCAGUCGAGAAACCUCCGCAAUACACGAAAGUGUGACGGGGCCAUCCCGAGUGCCAUCCGCUGAGGACGGCUUUUCCCCAGUGUACAUAGCUGGGGGAAUAAGGAGAGGGCAAGCCUGGUGUCAGCCGCCGCGGUAAUACCAGCUCUCCGAGUGGUGGGGACGCUUAUUGGGCCUAAAGCAUCCGUAGCCGGCUAGGCAAGUCCUCCGUUAAAUCCAACGAUUCAAUCGUUGGGCUGCGGGGGAUACUGUCCAGCAUGGGGGCGGGAGAGGCCGACGGUAUUCCCGGGGUA